CCGAACCCGCAACCUCAUGGUUCCUAGUCAGAUUCAUUAACCACUGCGCCACAAUGGGAACUCCUCCCACAGGAUCGUUAACUAUAAUGACCACACUGUACAUCAGCUCCCCAAACUUACUCAUCUUCUUCUUGGAAGUUUGUACCCCUUGACCAACCUCUCCCCAAGUGAUAUCUUAAUAGCCAACCAACAGCCACCUUUACUGAGGACUUACGACGUGCAAUGCCUGUCUAAACACGUCACACAUAGUAUCCAAAUUAAUCCUCAAAACUGUCCUGGAAAACAUGUGCUAUUACUAUUCGCAGCGCUCCAGAGGCCCCACCUAUCCCAGUGCGCCACAACGGUAACUCCGCUGCUCUCAAUGUGCACGUGGAGAAGCUCUGAAUUAGGAUGAAGAUGACCCACAGUCACAGAGCUGUGAGCAGUGGUGUCUGAGACCUGGGUGGCGGCCUCCAGAGUCCAUGCUCUCAGCAGCUCCACCACAGUGCCCAUCCCUUGGGCUCUGGCGUUUGGGUGGGUUUGGGGUUUGCAGGUGAGGAGGUGGUACCUUCCUUGGCAGGAGGGCAGAAGAUGCCAUAAAGACCAGAGGACAGAGAGACGACACUGUCAAGAGCUGUAGAGAAAACACUUUCUAUGGGAACUCAGGGAGGACACCGGGGGAAGCAGAGGGGCCGACGGCAGCAUCUGGGGCCAUCGCUUUCCGGGCUGACCCCUCCCUGGCUCAGGAGCCCUGUGGGAGUCACAACUCCCUCCCCAGCCCAGCCACCCUCGUGCAUGAGAUGGGCAGGGUGUGGGAUCCCAGACUGCGUGUGAGGUAUCAGGUCCCAGAAACAUCAGUCCAAAGUACAAAACAGGAACGUGUGGAGCCGUCCAGAGCGCUACAAAGGAGCCUUAACAGAGGGGCCCCUGCGGGCUGACAUCAUUAGAGGCAUCACAUGCCAGUGGCCAGGAAGCAGCCGUAAAACCUUCCUCCAGCAGUUGUGUCAUUUUGCUGAAUUGACACUUCUUUACGUCCAUGUAUGGUCCUUACAGGGAAGUGGCUGGGAACUGGAAAAGGUGUUUCCUGUUUUGUUUUCCUGGCUGUGAACCACUGUAUAAAGAUUUCUCACCAGGAGCCACACCUUCAAACUGCUGUCCUCUUUCCUGAAUCUCUUCAACAGCUCCAGGGAACUGUGCUUGGAGCACAGGGGUGGACCUUGAGUGAGAAGCCCAGUUCAGGGGCAGGUCUCAGUGAACUUCUUGUUUGCAGUGUGUUGUUCUGGGUCCCUGCCCGGAAGAGCCUGGCCCUGGAUGUCCCGAGUGACACUGGAAUGGCCAACAGUCUCUGCUCCCUGGCCCAGAGAGGCUGCUUGCAGAAUCCAGUGUCACGUUCUUAUAGAUCGAGUUACUCCAGGCCCAGCUGGGAAUGAUCUGAAGAGGGGGCUGCAGAUACAGCUGCUGGGGCAGCCCGGCUGCUUCUCAGCCCUCGUCCCCAUCCCACACUCGAGGGUCUGAAUUCUGCUGCCCUGGUGGUGGCCUGGCUGGAAGGCAGAGGCUGCACUUCCCCCACUGGAGGUGCGUGGGUGGCAGCCCAGCUCCCUGCAAAUGUCUGCUGGGUGUUUGCCUGUGACGGCUCCUUAAGUCCCUGUCCCCUUCUUGCUUCUGUAUGUGCACCCCUGUCCCACCCCACUUCCAGGCUUAUGUUCCAUGGCAUUCCAAAGGACAAAGGGAGAGAGACUGAUCACCUGGGGCCACGGUCUCCAGUCCCCCGAGGCUGGCUGUCCUGGCAGGCACUGGGGAGAGGGGCCGGGUGGUUCUGAUCCUACAGAGGCAGUGGGAAGCAUCAAACAUGAUGCCUUAGAGCUCAGCUGGGGAGUCCAUCAGACCUGGGUUUGGAUCAGAUCUCCACGGAACUAUUUACUAGCUGUGCAAUGCCGGGCAAGUCUCUGACCAUCUCUGACCAUAAGCCUCAGUUUCCUUAUCUGUAAAGUGGGGGCAAUAAGCGCUCCCAUUCAGUGAGACAAAAUAUGUAAUGUACUACAUAUUUUGGGGCCUCCUACACAGUCUGUGCUUAAUUAACGGUGCCAUCAUUGGCAAAGAUGCCAAAACCCAGAGCAGUGCCUGAGGCAAAUGGUUCCCAUUCCCCGAAGCUAGAAAAGGAUGACCGAGGGCUGGGCAUAGUCUGGAAUGUCCCUGAGUGGGGAGGCUUCAGACCUGGACAGUUUCACAGUGCUCUGCUGAGAGGUAGGGAGGCUGUGAGGAGGAGCCCCCACCACCCCCACACUCAGGGAGGGAGAUCUGCCCACCUCUUCGCUGACAGACUGGCAGAAAUGAAGGCCUGGGGUUGUCCUGGACACUUCCCUGGUCCCCUUAGCCACAGGGCCCCACAGUCGACUCUCCCUGUCCAGGGACGAAUGGCACCCUCCCCCCGCCCCGGAGCUGAGGCCCUUAGGAGGGGGGAGGUAGGCAGAGUCACGUCUGGGAGAAGCCACAGUGAGUGACUCCCAUCCUCCCAGCGCGCCAGUGGCUGGGAAAGUUUCCGCGGCUCAGUUAAAGAUUACAAAGAGCAGGAGGCCGGGUGCAUCCUGAGUGGGGGCUGAUGGGAACUUCUGGGGAGCUGCCUGAGGCCUCUGGCUCUUCAGGCUCCCACUUCGGCAAUGGACUCUGGUCAGGGCCGCUGCCCUGGAGAGGAGGAGCCUUUGCAGGACAGGGCAGGGUGCCUUGGGAAGCUGGCUGAGGUCUGGGCCCAACUGUGAAGAAAGGACAGGUCUGGGCAGGGCAGUCCUCUCACGGCAGGGUGGACUGGGCAAGGAAGGGGUGCACCUGCGUUCACCAUGGACAGGGUGAGAGCCUCCCCGGUUCCUCCCAGCCUCAGUUUCUCACUGGCCCCACCAGGUACUUUCCUGACUAACCAGCCCUUCAGGCCCGGCUGGCUUGAGGCAGAACCCGUAAGAUGUGCCGGGGCAGAGCUGCGGCAUGGAAGGAGAAGAUGGGGUGGAGAGAGAACAAACUCACUCCAGGGCUGUUACUACACGGCAAGACAGGCCUCUCUCAACUCAACUAGCUUCUGCCCAACUGCAGCCUGCUCCUCCCGGCAGGGGCUCACCGCGCCUCCACCGCCACUUGCUCUUCUGCCCACCGACGAGCUCAGCUGGGCAGCUGCCUCCUUUCUCGGCAGCUGAUAAAGCCAACCCUGCUGAGCUCUGCUGUGCGCGUGCGUGUGUGAGUGUGUGAGUGUGUGUGCGUGCGUGUGUGUGAGAGUGUGUGUGUGUGUGUGUGUGUGUGUGUGUGUGUGUGGCGGGUGGUGGGGGCGAGGGGCUGCUGGCCAUUAGGAUGGGGCAGAGCUCUGGCAGAAGCCUGGUGCCCGAAUUCAGGGCACAGCCUCCAGCCUGCGCUGCGAGAACCUGCUGGGGUGACAGGGCCGAGGGCCUUUUACUCAGGCGACAUUCUCAAGAGCACAGUCCCCCAGGCCUGCUGGAGACGGUGGGAGUUGUUCUGGCUGGAGCCGGGGAGGUGGGGAGGAGAGGAGAGGGCUGGGGACAGCCUGGCCAUGGGGCUCAGGGACGUGCCUUUUGAGGGGCUGAGGAGAGCAGGAUUUCUACUCCCCGGUCCUCUGAGGACCAGUCCCUGGGCCGAGAGCCGCCCGCCUGCGUCUCUGGCUUAGAGGAGCGGCUCCGGCAGGAAGUGCACGUGACCGCCGGCUGGCCGAGGGGCAGACAGAUGCUGUCGAGAGCACCCUGUGUGCAAACCCAGGCCGGUGGGGUGGGCGGCCAGGGAGCCAGCUCUGCAGAUGUUACUAAGUGAAACCUGAUGUGGCGACAUGAGAAUCUGCAGAACGUCUCACAAACAACCUUCCCGGGGAUGUUUUGGAUUGAGCUUUGUGGCUAUGACGCGAAGGAGCCUCACAUGUCAGGAUAAAAAUAGCUCUGGCCUCAAUACACAACCGCGAGUCACAGUUCAACAAAACCAGAUGCGAAAACAUUAGCCGCCCAAACCCGGCUCGGCAGGGUCCCUGCUCCGCUGCUGGCCCUCCCGCCUACCUCCUGGGUGGGUCGGCGGCGCGGGGGGCCUGGCCAGCCCCUCAGGUGGGCAUCUGCAGCUGCUGCCCUGAGAGGGCAGGGGUGGAGCCAGAGGACCCGGCUCGGAUCCAGGUGGUGUCGCUGGCUGGCAGGGCAGCCCUGAGGAAGUGCCACCUUCUCUGGCCAAUUCCUGUCUGUGAACCUCGCAGGGAUAAGAGCGGAACGCAGUGCCUGGCAUGGGAAGCGCUCUGAGGCGGGGGCUGCAGGACUGAGAGGCUGGGAUCGAAUCUGAGCCACAGCAGUGACAGUGACAACACCAGAUCUUUAACAAGCUAUGCCACCUGAGAGCUCCUUGAGCUUGAGCUUUUAAAACCACAGACCCAGCUGAAAGCUCUGCUGUCCGCAUGCAUGUGCGGUUCCCACACUCCCUGCAGCGCACACGUGGGUCUCCGGCCGAGAGCGCGGGGCCCCCAGCACAGGAUACCCUGGAAGCAGGAAGCAUUACCGCCCUUCCUUGGUGCUCUUUCUAGGAUGGAAUUUCUUCCCAUCUGGCAGAGCUGACUGUUUUUCUAUGAACUCAGAGUGAAUCCCUGCCUGAUGUGACACAGUCUGACAUGCUCAUGAGCUGGGGCACGUCUUCACCACUCCGGCUUCCUCAGCGGCCCACGUGUCUCGACAGGGCUAGGAGAUGGGGUUCAGGGCUCUUCGCCAUCCAAGUCCCUGUCAGCCCCUGUGGGGGCGGGGGUCUGCUGCCCAACCCCUGGGCCAGGCCCUGCAGCCCCAGGGCCUACACCCUGCCCCCUCCAGCGCAGACCUGGCCCAACUUUGCACCACCCAGUAAGCAUUUCACAAUCAUCGACUUCUCUGUGUCUGGGAGGAACGGACACCUUACAGAUGGAGGCUGGGAUCACAGAGAGUCCCGGGAGAGCGAGGUGCCUGCUGCCCGACGCUGUCCUGCCUCAGCUUCCCCUCUGAGGAUGCUCCAUAGCUGCCUCCUGGGGAGGGAGAGCUAAGGGCUGGCCUCCGCCAGCAGGGAACCUUCUCUCUGCUGCUGCCCUUCUCCCCCCCAUCCGUCCCCACCCCCACACUCAGCCUCUGGCAUCCUUGCCACUCAUCUGGAGACCUCAGGUUGGCCCCUGAGUGCUGACCUGGGGACACAGGAUGAAGAGUUGACCCCUGAGCUGUGGGACAGGGUAGGAAUCUCUGCAGGGGUCUGGGGGUCAGGGUGUAGGAGCCUCCUGGCCACAGCCUCUGACUGUCCAGAGGAAAUGGCUCAUGCACAGGGAAGCACUGCAUCCUCCGAAACAAGAGAAGGAAGCUGGGCUGCCGCUUGAGCCCCUGACUCCUUCCUUGCUUGGGUCAGAAACAGCUGGAAACUUGGGACCAGCUGCAGGCAGAGCAUGCACAGUGGCGGUGGUCUGAAGCCUAGUGUCCUAUGUGACACUCCACUGCAGGGGCUUGACUUCCAGUGUCAUUGGGGAGAUAUCUUCAAUGCCUGGGCCUUCUGUGAUUGACCUGGGAGUCCUUGGGUCACCUCCACGUCCACCCAGCAGGUACCCUCAGGGCCGAGUACCAAGAUGCCUUCUGGGAUAAGCGUGGCGGGACUGCAGAUCUAUCUGACCCUUGCCUUCUGCGCCAAAGGAGCUCUAGGACCUUGUAUCUGGAUGUCAAAAGCCGCUCAGGGGACAGAGAGGCACCCAGACAAAUGCCCAAGAUUCGCUAGGUACUUUCCUUCCAGCUUGCAUCCCUGGGUAUCUUCCAGGAUCCUGGCGCUGGAGGGAAGUGGCGUCUGACUGGGAGGAGGACCUGAGAGUCACAGAGACCCAGCGAGAAGAGCCACCUGCUAUCUGGAAGGACCCCAAGGGGUGAGCACCACAGCCACCUUCACAUUCAAGGACAGCUCGGAAACAGCCUGUUCGAAUUAUUCCCUCUCCUGCCUGGGCCGCCUGCCCUGUUAUUUUUAGCUUCUUGACAAGGAAGGAACUUGUUGCCUAGUCUUCUGCCCGUGACACCCAAGACUUGGAUGCCCCUUGAUUCCUGAUGGGGAGAUGCCACCCCAGGGAAAGAGACGAUCAGCUGACUUGGAUGGAUUUGUAUUUAGCCAAUGGUUCAAAAGCCUGAAAGGGGCAGGGAGAUGAGGAAAAAGGGAUGGGAGGGACUCAUCCAGGGGCGGAGGGCUGCUGGAGUGGGAGCCAGGAGGCCGCAGUCUGCCUGCAUCCUGGACAGGGCAGGUCACCGACCCUCACCCUUGGCCGAGCCCUAGGGCUCAACAGGGACAGCCCAGUGGCCAGCGCGGUCCAGGAUGGGACUGAGCCCUGCCCCUCCCAGAGUCCCGAGGCUGCAACCAUCAGGGGGAGACUCACCGGGAGUGCUCAGCAGGCUGGCUCUGCCAGGUGUGGGCACCUGGAGCUCCGAGUGGCCGACCCGGAGGUCAGGGCCAUCGGGCGGGCCUGCGUCAUCUGUCUGGCCUGCGGGAGAGGAUGCAAUUUCUGCCAGCACCUCCAGAUCCUUGAGGAUAACCUGGGGGAGAAAAGGAGAGGAUGAGGGCUGAGGACCUCCAUGCCGAGCUGUGGCUGGAGAUGGAGAGCCGCCUCCAGGGCGUGGGGAGGGGCUGCAGAGGCCGAUGUGCUGGUGAGAGCUGCCAAGACCGAGAGCUCUACAGACGACGGGGAGGAGAACACACACAGGAGGCGGACGGGGGCAAGCAGAGGAAGGAAGCUGGAGUCUGAGGCCCAGGAGUCAGCUCUCCCAAGACCACACCUCUCCGGUCCCCCGGAGAAGUGGACUCAGGCACAGGGCGCCACCUGUGCUGUGUGUACCUCAGGGUUUCCGGACUGCCCGUGCCUCAGUGUCACUUGUGCCCUCCAGGCCACACUCUUGGGUUUGCCAGCUAUGGCCCAGCCCACCACCAGGCCACAGGACAGGUCCUUCUGCAGAGGCGACCCCAGGCCUACCCUCCUCGUACGGGGUGCAACUCGAGGCUCCAGGAGCACAUUUCAACUUUCAGAUGCAGCGUUCAGUUCUCAGCCACCUGUGUGACACUCAUACACAGAUGCAAGGGGCUCCCGGGCUGCCCCCACUGCCUUGAGAGCCCUUGGACCUUUAGAGGCUGUCUCGUCCCACACAGCACCCAUCUCCUUCUGCUCCUCACCUGGCACUGACAGCGAGCAAGAUGGUGCCUUAGUGGGGCGGGGUGUGUGUGUGUGUAAGUGUAACCCACCUGUCCCAGCUCCUCCUGCAGGGCCCUCACCUCACGGCCGAUAGACCUGCCCAUCCCUCUCACCUCUGUGCUCUGAAGAAGGCCUGUGCCUGUCCCAGCACAGGUGUCCUUCCAGGACUGUCCCUAAUACUCAGUGGCUGUCCAACAGGCAUCAGUUGAAUGGAUGGAGGACUGUGCCUGAGCCCAGGCCAAGAAUUACCAGGGCAACUGAGGGCUCUGGUCCUGACCAGCAGAAAUGACACCGUGCACCGGUGGGUGGGGCCCUGGUGGCUGGGCUGUGUGCAGCAGGACAGUCCAGCAUGGAACCUGGUGACUGGUCAAGAUAAAGCUACUCCAGGGCUCUUUGCGGGACGAUACAAAUGUUCUGGAGUUAGACAGUGGUGAUAGGCACAGAACCUUGUAUAUACAUUAAAAACAACUGAGUUGUAUACAUUAAAAAGGCAAUUUCUGGAGUUCCCAUUGUGGCACAGUGGAAACAAAUCCGACUAGGAACCAUGAGGUUGCGAGUUCAAUCCCUGGCCUCGCUCAGUGGGUUAAGGAUCCAGCAGUGCUGUGGGCUGUGGUGUAGGCUGCAGACAUGGUUUGGAUCCAGUGUUACUAUGGCUGUGGUGUAGGCCAGCAGCUGCAGCUCCAAUUCUACCCCUAGCCUGGGAACCUCCAUAUGCCAUGGGUAUGGCCCCAAAAAUGGGGGGAAAAAAUUAGGAAAAAAAAAGGCAAUUUUUAUUUUAAAAACAUAGAGGAUAGGAGUUCCCAUCGUGGCUCAAUGGGAACAAAUCUGACUAGUAUCCGUGAGGAUGCAGGUUCCAUCUUUGGCUUCACUCAGCGGGUUAAGGAUCCGGCAUUGCUGUGAGCUGUGGUGUAGGUUGCAGAUGCGGCUCAGAUCUGGUGUUGCUAUGGCUGCAGGCCUGAUUCAACCCCUAGCCUGGGAACCUCUACCUACUGCAAGUGCAGGUUUAAAAAGACAAAAAAACAAAAACAAAAACAAAAACAA